CGGGAAACUGUUCAGGGGCCGGGUCGGGCCAAGAGUACCGGGUGCAGAGAGCUCUAGCCCGCUGGGCUUCGCCGGUUCCAGAGUGCAGGCCGGCGGGCCUCGCUGCGGACCCCGCGAGCUAUGGCCCGGGUGCUGAUCGUGGGUGCGGGGCUGACGGGAAGCCUGUGCGCUGCACUGCUGAGGAAGGAGGCGUCCUGUUCUUUACACCUCUCUGUGUGGGACAAGGCGGGGGACUCAGGGGGAAGAAUGACUACAGCCAGCAGUGCCCAUAAUCCUCAGAGCACAGUCGACUUGGGUGCCCAGUACAUCACCUGCACUCCUCAUUUUGCCAAAAAACAUCAAAGUUUUUAUGAUGAACUGUUGGCUCAUGGCGUUUUGAAGCCUCUGACCUCUCCUAUUGAAGGAAUGGUGAACAAAGAAGGAGACUGUAACUUUGUGGCACCUCAAGGAGUUUCUUCAAUUAUUAACCAUUACUUGAAAGAAUCAGGUGCCGAUAUCUACUUCAGACAAUGUGUGACCCAGAUCAACCUGAGAAAUGACAAGUGGGAAGUCUCCAAGGAAACAGGCUCCCCAGAGCAGUUUGAUAUUGUUGUCCUCACAAUGCCAGCUCCUCAGAUUCUGCAGCUUCGGGGAGACAUUGAAAACUUAAUUAGUGAAUGCCAAAGGCAGCAACUGGAAUCUGUGAGCUACUCCUCUCGCUACGCACUGGGCCUCUUUUAUGAAGCUGGCACGAAGAUCGAUGUCCCUUGGGCUGGGCAGUACAUCACUAGUAAUCCCUGCAUUCGCUUCAUCUGCAUUGAUAAUAAGAAACGCAAUAUAGAGUCAUCAGAAAUUGGGCCUUCCCUUGUGAUUCACACCACUGUCCCAUUUGGAGUUACAUACUUGGAACACAGCAUUGAGGAUGUGCAGGAAUUAAUCUUGCAGCAGCUGGAAAACAUUUUGCCUGGUUUGCCUCAGCCAGUUGCUACCAAAUGCCAGAAAUGGAGACAUUCACAGGUUACGAAUGCUGCGGCCAACUUUCCUGGUCAAAUGACCCUCCACCUCAAACCUCUUCUUGUGUGUGGAGGGGAUGCAUUUACUCAGUCCAACUUUGAUGGCUGUGUCACUUCUGCCCUUUGUGUUCUGGAAGCUUUAAAGAAUCAUAUUUAGUAUGUGGAUUCUUAUUCUUAACAUGUAUUUUGGGUUUUUAUUUUCAGUUUUCUGUUAUUAUUUUGUUUUCUAUUUUGUUGAGAAAAAUUAUUGGAAAAUUGUUCUUUAUUUAUUGUUAUUUUUCAUAUGGGGUAUAAAAUCAAUUUUAUAAUUUCAAUAGUUACUACUCAUGCUAGAACAAAAAUUCCUUGUACUUUAUGCUUUUCUCCACUUUUCUGAAUUGCUGUGACUACUCCUUGCUGGAGGCAAAGCAAUGCUUGAGGAUAGCAAAUGACUCUCCCCCCAGAUAAUUUCCAAUCAAAGUAAGAGUUCAUGUUCAAAAACCUUUCUUAUCCUUUUGAAAAUCUGAACCCCAAAUAAAGAGUAAUCAUUAUCAAGACCCCAUAAAUCUUCACAUAUGUCCUUGAUUCAGUGUUUUUGCAAAUUGCUGAACUACAAGAUUCCUCCAAACUGUGGGUAACAGAGUGUAAUUUUUGUUUCUCAUUUCUCUUCCAAGUUAUUAAAUGAUCCUGAAUUGUAGGUCACAUAUGUCAUCAUCUCUAAGAAUGCAGUUUGGAGGGCAACUUGACUGACAAAGAAAUGUCUUUUUACAUUUUCAGAAAAUAACAAGAUUCAACUUGACUUCCAAGUCACACAGUACUUUUUAACCUUAAAAGAAUCCAGUCUUAAUAUAAAAGAAAUUGAAAUGGAUAUGGGACUGUCUCAUGCUGGAAACCAUCCCAGAGGACCACGAGACCCAGAUGUCCAGGAGGCCCUAAAAGACCCAGGGUGAAGGUAUCCAACUCCCCUGGGAAAUAGGGGUCAGUACCUUUUGGAACAGUUGCCAAGGUGUAUGUAUGUCAGCCCCACAGUACUACACAGUACCCCAAUAUUGCCCAAUAAGAACUUUUAUUAAAUCAAGCCAGCCAAGGAAAUCAGUUCUGUUUUGAAAGGAGCAUAUUUAAGUGAGAAAUGGCUUGAGCAGUGGGGUGAUUUAAUACUUGUUAGCUGAUAAAUACAGCCUUUGCUGGAAUAAAACUUUAUGAUGCAGUGUUGAAAAGCUUAAUUACUAAACUGUCUAUGCACGUCUUGCUCAGGCAGCAAGGGUGACAAAUUAUAGCAGUGGAAUAGUAUUUUUCACCUUUGGCGUUUCUGAAGGGGAAAAGUAUGUCUAAAAACAUCGAGAAAGCAGUAAUAAUCCCAGACCAGAUAUUACUGAGGGAAAAAAAGACAACACUUCAUUGAGUCACCAAGCCUUCUGUGCAAAAUGCCAUCAUCCCCACCCCUCCUCCUACUCACUACCUUGUUAAGUAAAAAGAAGGUCAAUUUUACAUUUAUCUGGUAUUUUAUACUCAUCCAAGUAUGUGUGUGUGUGUGUGUGUGUGUGUGUGUUUACGCUUUCCAUCCUCUUAACACUCUUGUGAAAUACACAGAGCAGAGAAUGCUUAUUCACAUUUGACAAAUGAAGAAACUGAGGCACAGAGAUUGGCCAACCAAGGUCACAUAAUCAAAUGAAAGACAAGAACCCAGGCCUGCCAUGACCCAUUUCUAUUUACGUGGCACCAUGCUGCUGCCAGAUGAACAUGAUAAUUAAGGCUGAACUGAAAUGACUGUUGGAGGUACAGUCAGCGCCAUGUGGUCCUCUUAUUGAUGUUUCAUUUCAGAGAGCUAACACUAAUCCUGAUGUGAUAUAUACUGAAGUCUAGUAUGGAAUAAAGUCUUCGUAAGUACUGGCUAAAUAAUUUAUAUUCCUGUUAUUUUCAUUUGCUGGUUUAUUUCCUUCUUUGGGGGGCACUUGCUGUGAGAAAUGGCUGCAUCCUAAUGACACUGAAUUUCAACCCAGCAGUAGCUGGUUAACAAACAGGCUCUGUUUGCACUCAGCCUUGCUUCCGUAUUCUGCUUUGUCUCUCCAUUCCCUUUGUUUAAUGCUCCACUCCUCUAUCAGUUUCUACCAUUUCUUUCUCCCCUCCUAUUUUUUCCUCCCCCUUCUUAUUGUGUGUCGAAUUCUCUGUUGUCAGAAAUCUGGAAUAUAAAUGCAAUCACAUUAUGAUUCAUACUAUUUAUAAUUUUUUGUUUCAAUAUAUCUUUUUUUCUAAAUUUAAAGUAGUCAAUGCUGCUUUUUAUUCAAGUUGAUUGGGUGAUCAUUAUUUUGAUAUUUCAGAAGUAAUGCAAGAAUUCAAACCUGUAGCUUUCAGGGAUCUCAGUGCUAAUAACCCCAAAAAAUAUGCAAAUCAUGGUACCAGGCUCUGUGGUAGACAGGAUGGAACAUAAUUAGCCAUCUCUACCUAAAGAUGCUAGUUAGAGGAAGACAAGUCCCAUAGAGUGGGAGGCAGGGUAAAGGCACACAGUGUAAUCACAGACAGUAAAUAAGAUGCUCUAUCAUGAAGAUGGGAAUCCUAAGAGAAAGAACCAUGUUUCUUUGAGAGAGAAGGUCUCCAAACAGAAGCAGAGGUCCAUCAGGAAAACACUGACAACAUCCCUCCCCUCCACACCAUAGCUGGGCAGACCUGGCUGACUCCAGGAAUCCAAAUUGGUAUCAGAGUGGGUAGGAUGAGUGAGUGCUUUCUGUGGAGAAGCUCAGUGCAACACAGCAUGUGGUAUCUGGGAAAAGGAAAAAGCCUCUGCAAACUUCAAACUGCAGGAUUGAGCGGCUGUCAUCCAAUCUAAGAAUGUCCUUGUGUUUCGGUCAGUAUCAUCUGGCCAGGUAACCCAGGGAAGGUUGAAAUGGUACUGUGCCCUGUUUUCUUUGCAAUAGACAGUAACUAUAGUCCACUUAAGAGUUCAUAGCAGAAUCCAUCAAAUGAGCCUCCUAAGGAGAAAGAGUUUCUAAGAGCAUUUUAGUUUGGAAGGCACGUAAAAUCAUAGAAUCCUGGAAUGUCUAGGUUUAGAGGGGCUUGAAGACCAUUUAGACCAAUUAUUACACAUCUUGGAUUUUGAACCUACUUGAGAAGCUGUGGAAAGCUAUAAGAUCUUCUCCUAACAGCAAAACAAAAAUAAUGAUGCAUGCAUGUAAAAUUUGCAUACCAUUUUAAAGCCUGCUGACUAGCUGCCUGUUUUUGUAAAUAAAGUUUUAUUGGAACAUAGGCUUGCCCACUUGUUUGGGUAUCAUCUGUGGCUGUUUUUGCACAAUAGUAGUAUGAGUGUUUACAACAAAUACCAUAUAGCCUACAAAGCCUACUAUCUGUAAUUGCUUGCAGUUCCCUGGUAGCCUGUCAGUUAUGGAUUUGGCAUUGUAACUGCUGUGGCUCAAGUUCGAUCUCAGCCCAUGAAUUUCCACAUGCCAUCAGCUUGGCCAAAAAAAAAAAAGCAAAAAAUUGCCGACUCUUGUUUUAGAGGGUUACAAACCCUUCAAAAUCUAUUUUAAAUAUUCAGGGGUCUAUGGACCCAAGAUCAAUGACCUCUAAAUCUCCAUCCUAUUGCUUUAUGUAAAUGUAGAUUUAUCUUAGAUCCCUUGUUUCUUGAUCUUUUGCCCCAUUGUAAAUCCUUUAAGGUGGGCAUUACUGCUUUGCAGUUAACAACAUCUUCUGGAGUUAAAUAGAUCUGUGUUUUAAUUCUGUGUUUUGCUCCUCAUUGUGUGGCCUUGCAGUAAAACAACCUCAAAGCCUCCUUCAUCAUUGAAAAAUGAGUUAAUAGUAGGUAGCUACUUCAAAGAUUGUUGUGAGGCUUCAGUAAACAUAAAACCAUAAUAUAAUGCUGGACACAUAGUAAGUGCUUAAUAAAUGAUAGCAACGAUGGUGAUGAUAAUGAAGGAAAGGAAGAAGGAUAGGAAGAAAAGUAUAAGCAGAUCCUUCUGGUGUCAGUGAGGUCCCUGUGAAGGCCAGUUUCUUCUGCAUUUACAUAGGACACUUAGGAGAGUUAUGUUAAGGAGAGUCUUUCAUUGAUUAAAUCAUGGUGGAAUUCAGGAGGUUGAAAACUUUAGGUUUCUUCAAAACAUUCAUAAAACAAUAGUAGAGUGUACCUAAGACUAGCAGCGGGACACUUUCUCUUUUCCUGUUGUUGAUGAGUUGUGCUUGGGAAAAUGGGAGUUUGCUCUAAAGCGGUCCUUGGAAAGAAACCAGGAUAGGUCAUUCUGAGGCUGAUGUAAAAUAGAAGCAUUCUCUGCAACAAACGGUGUCUUCUCCUUGGCAAGUGUGUCUGCUGAAUGCAAAGAAUUGCAUGCUUGGAUUGAAUCGUGCUAAAGAUUAUUUACUUAAUCUCUGAAAUGCUGUGAAAACUGGGAGUGAGUUAUUUCACAUUCUUAACAUGUUUGGCUAAGUCUGCAGAUUCAUUUCCUGUCCCUGGCCUUCAUUUUAAAAAGCUCAACCCCUGGUAAGUUCUAUGAUAUCCUAAACCCACCACUUUCUAGAUAUAUAAUCUAGAAUCCAGUUUCUUAUGCCUCUGAGCCUCAGAAGCUUCAGCUAUAAAAUGGGGAAUACUAAUUAUACCUACCUUAGGGUUGUUCUGAGUGUUAUAGAAUUUAAUAUAUAAAGUGUUUAGCAUUGUUCUCUGCAUAUAGAAAAUAAUAAAUGUGAGCGGUUAUUAUUAAUAUUAUUCUUAGUGAGAUAUGACUUAGGAAAAUCAUUCCUCUCAUAGCCAUCACCCCAUCUAAAGGUAGCUUUAAAACUAGCUACGGAGCCAGUUCACUACUUAUAAAACUCAUAAGGGACUGUGUUCACAUGCCACAAUAAGUUUGGCCUCAUUUAUUUUUAUCUUUUUAUUUUCGUUUUUGUCUUUUGUCUUU